rnacentral:rRNA from 1 species
GACAGGCCUAACACAUGCAAGUCGAGGGGUAACAUGUUAGCUUGCUCUUGAUGACGACCGGCGCACGGGUGAGUAACGCGUAUGCAACCUUCCUUUAACUGGAGAAUAGGCCCGGAAACGGGGAUUAAUGCUCCAUGGCACUCUGAAUACGCCUGUAUUAAGAGUUAAAGUUCCGACGGUUAAAGAUGGGCAUGCGUGACAUUAGCUAGUUGGCGGUGUAACGGCCCACCAAUGCAACGAUGUCUAGGGGUUCUGAGAGGAAGGUCCCCCACACUGGUACUGAGACACGGACCAGACUCCUAGCGGGAGGCAGCAGUGAGGAAUAUUGGUCAAUGGACGCAAGUCUGAACCAGCCAUGUCGCGUGCAGGAUGACUGCCCUAUGGGUCGUAAACUGCUUUUAUACGGGAAGAAAGGUAUCUACGUGUAGAUAAUUGCCGGUACCGUACGAAUAAGCAUCGGCUAACUCCGUGCCAGCAGCCGCGGUAAUACGGAGGAUGCGAGCGUUAUCCGGAUUUAUUGGGUUUAAAGGGUGCGUAGGCGGAAUGGUAAGUCAGCGGUGAAAUACUGCAGCUCAACUGUAGAACUGCCGUUGAUACUGUCAUUCUUGAGUAUAGAUGAGGUAGGCGGAAUGAGUAGUGUAGCGGUGAAAUGCAUAGAUUUUACUCAGAACACCAAUUGCGAAGGCAGCUUACUAGACUAUAACUGACGCUGAAGCGCGAAAGCGUGGGUAUCAAACAGGAUUAGAUAGCCUGGUAGUCCACGCCGUAAGCGAUGAUAACUGGUUGUUUGCGAUACGCAGUAUGCGACUGACCGAAAGCAUUAAGUAAUCCACCUGGGGAGUACGUUGGCAACAAUGAAACUCAAAGGAAUUGACGGGGGCCCGCACAAGCGGUGGAACAUGUGGUUUAAUUCGAUGAUACGCGAGGAACCUUACCUGGGCUUAAAUGGGGAGUGACAGGGGUAGAAAUACCCUUUUCUUCGGACACUUUUCAAGGUGCUGCAUGGUUGUCGUCAGCUCGUGCCGUGAGGUGUCGGGUUAAGUCCCAUAACGAGCGCAACCCCUGUUGUCAGUUACCAGCACGUAAAGGUGGGGAAUAUGGCAAGACAGCCGGACCCCACCGCGAGGAAGGUGGGGAUGACGUCAAAUCAGCACGGCCAUUACGUCCAGGGCUACACACGUGUUACAAUGGCCAGUACAAAGGGCAGCUACACAGCAAUGUGAUGCUAAUGUCGAAAACUGGUCCCAGUUCGGAAUGGAGUCUGCAACCCGACUUCAUGAAGCUGGAAUCGCUA